AUUUUUAAAAAAGCAUUCACUUAAAAACAUGGUCUCUUUCUUGCUUUUGUUGAGGUAGCUCCAAAAUGCAGGCGUUUCAGCCUAUUUCAAGUGCUUUCUUUAUGUGAUGGUGCAGCCAGCAGAAGAUACGGAGUGUAGGGGCUGGUAAUGUUCUCUAGUUGCGCCGUGAUUGGCUCAGUGUUCUGUCACUCAUAGGGACCCUACAUCACCGCAAAAUCCAUUGGACAUAAACAUUACACAACAAGUUGGAAAUUCCAAAUCCAACAAUGAGUGGUUUGAAAGGAAUCAGUGGCUAACUGAAAGCAUUGCAAAUGCUAUUCAGUGGAGUGGGUGUGUGGUCCAAAUCUGGGUUUAAGGGUCUCUUUUCCAAAUUUAGAAGGAUAAACAUUCAACAUUGGCCAUACUGUCAACCCAGCAUGACUUCUGCCGCGUUCAAGACAACUGGAAACUCUGUUUUUUUUUUUAUAGCUCCGACUGGGAAAAUACGUUUUGAAUGGUCAUCCAACUCGGAUUUGUAAAUCGUAUCUCGGGCCUCUUCCCAGAGCCACGACCUGAAGAUCACUGAAGUUAUGAUUUGACCUCGUUAUUUUUUCCCGAGUUCCCAGUUGUCUUGAAAGCACCAUAAAUCCAGAGAACGCCAUAUUUUGAUGACAAAGGUUGAUGACAACAUUUGCACACGAAGGACCUCCUGACCUGAGCCCUAGGACCAUGCCCCAGGACUACCUGACAUGAUGACUCCUUGCUGUCCCCAGUCCACCUGGCCAUGAUGCUGCUCCAGUUUCAACUGUUCUGCCUUACUAUUAUUUGACCAUGCUGGUCAUUUAUGAACAUUUGAACAUCUUGGCCAUGUUCUGUUAUAAUCUCCACCCGGCACAGCCAGAAGAGGACUGGCCACCCCACAUAUGCUCUCUCUAAUUCUCUCUUUCUUUCUCUCUCUCGGAGGACCUGAGCCCAAGGACCGUGCCCCAGGACGACCUGACAUGAUGACUCCUUGCUGUCCCCAGUCCACCUGACUGUGCUGCUGCUCCAGUUUCAACUGUUCUGCCUUGUUAUUAUUCGACCAUGCUGGUCAUUUAUGAACAUUUGAAUAUCUUGGCCAUGUUCUGUUAUAAUCUCCACCCGGCACAGCCAGAAGAGGACUGGCCACCCCACAUAGCCUGGUUCCUCUCUAGGUUUCUUCCUAGGUUUUGGCCUUUCUAGGGAGUUUUUCCUAGCCACCGUGCUUCUACACCUGCAUUGCUUGCUGUUUGGGGUUUUAGGUUGGGUUUCUGUACAGCACUUUGAGAUAUCAGCUGAUGUACGAAGGGCUAUAUAAAUAAAAUUUAAUUGAUUGAUUGAUUGA